UACGUAGGGUGCAAGCGUUGUCCGGAAUUAUUGGGCGUAAAGAGCUCGUAGGCGGUUUGUCGCGUCUGCUGUGAAAACCCGAGGCUCAACCUCGGGCCUGCAGUGGGUACGGGCAGACUAGAGUGCGGUAGGGGAGAUUGGAAUUCCUGGUGUAGCGGUGGAAUGCGCAGAUAUCUGGAGGAACACCGGUGGCGAAGGCGGCAUCCUGGACCGACACUGACGCUGAUGAGCGAAAGCGUGGGGAGCGAACAGG
rnacentral:rRNA from 1 species